rnacentral:rRNA from 1 species
AGAGUUUGAUCAUGGCUCAGAACGAACGCUGGCGGCAGGCCUAACACAUGCAAGUCGAACGUGAAGCCACCUUCGGGUGGUGGAAAGUGGCAGACGGGUGAGUAACGCGUGGGAAUCUACCCAAUGGUACGGAAUAACUCAGGGAAACUUGAGCUAAUACCGUAUGUGCCCGAAAGGGGAAAGAUUUAUCGCCAUUGGAUGAGCCCGCGUCGGAUUAGCUAGUUGGUGGGGUAACGGCCCACCAAGGCGACGAUCCGUAGCUGGUCUGAGAGGAUGAUCAGCCACACUGGGACUGAGACACGGCCCAGACUCCUACGGGAGGCAGCAGUGGGGAAUAUUGGACAAUGGGCGCAAGCCUGAUCCAGCCAUGCCGCGUGAGUGAUGAAGGCCCUAGGGUUGUAAAGCUCUUUCGGCGGGGACGAUAAUGACGGUACCCGCAGAAGAAGCCCCGGCUAACUUCGUGCCAGCAGCCGCGGUAAUACGAAGGGGGCUAGCGUUGUUCGGAAUCACUGGGCGUAAAGCGCACGUAGGCGGAUCGUUAAGUCGGGGGUGAAAUCCCAGGGCUCAACCCUGGAACUGCCUUCGAUACUGGCGAUCUUCGAGUCCGGGAGAGGUGAGUGGAACUCCGAGUGUAGAGGUGAAAUUCGUAGAUAUUCGGAAGAACACCAGUGGCGAAGGCGGCUCACUGGCCCGGUACUGACGCUGAGGUGCG